rnacentral:lncRNA from 1 species
UUACAGGCCUUUAAUCCAAAUUUCCUGAUAAUAAAUACUCAAAAUAAAUAACAGACUCAACUAAAAAAGAAAAAAGAAAAGAAAUACAGAAGUGCCAUGUUGAGCAUCGAGGACUGGAGGUAUCAUUUUUUUUGUUAAUCGAAUUUGAUUUCAGUUCUUAUUUAGGUAAAAUUGACCAAAAUUGCAUAUUUACAAUUGAUCAACUCUAAGAAAAUAUUCACCCCCCCC